GUAAAAUUAACUGGUAUGUCGGAUACUUCAUACGGACCGAUGAACCUCGGACUCAAUUUGCCCUUACGGCCAAAUCUAAGCACCUUCUUCCAGGGUGAAACUUUGAGAAAUACCUUGUCCCCAACCUGAUAUUCAAUGUCUUUUCUCCUUAAAUCCGCAUACUACUUUUGACUAUCCGAAGCGGCUUUCAAACUUUCACGAAUUACUCGAACUUUCUACUCAGCAUCCUUAAUCAAAUCAACCCCAAAGAUUUUACUUUCACUAAGUUCAGUCCA
rnacentral:lncRNA from 1 species